rnacentral:rRNA from 1 species
AAGGGCGACUGAAGCGGGAAGAGCUCAUUCUGUGAAUCUGCACUUUUAGUGCCGAGUUGUGGUCUGUAGAAGCAUUGUCGGUCGGCGUUCCGGGCUAAGUCUCUUGGAAAGGAGCAGCUGAGAGGGUGAUACUCCCGUUCUUGCCUGGAAUGUGCGAUCAUAGCACGUGCCUUCGACGAGUCGAGUUGCUUGGGAUUGCAGCUCAAAGUGGGUGGUAAAUUCCAUCUAAAGCUAAAUAUCGGCGGGAAACCGAUAGCGUACAAGUACCGUGAGGGAAAGAUGCAAAGAACUUUGAAAAGAGAGUUAAAGAGUACCUGAAAUCGCUGAAAUGGAAGCGAAGGAAACCAGUGCCAUUCUAUAUUGUUUUUCUAUUUUGGCUUGCUGAAAUGGCGUUGCAAUAUAGAAUAGGCCAGCAUGGGUUUGAGCCGGGACAAAUACCCAAUAAGGAGGCAGGUCAUUCCGACCGAUUACUUUUUGGUGUUGUCUUGGCUUGGACUGAGGCUAGUCACUUGUGCUCGUGAUGCUGGCGAAAUGGUUUUCUUUACCCCGUCUUGAAACACGGACCAAGGAGUCUAACAUAUGUGCGAGUAUAUGAGUGGCAAACUCACGUGCGAAAUGAAAGUAACAGUGGUAGGACCUUCUGGGGCACUAUCCGCCGGCCACAAUCCUUCGGGAGAAAGGUCUGAGUGUGAGCAUACAUGUUGGGACCCGAAAGAUGGUGAACUAUGCCUGAAUAGGGUGAAGC